rnacentral:rRNA from 1 species
AACGAACGCUGGCGGCAGGCUUAACACAUGCAAGUCGAGCGCCCCGCAAGGGGAGCGGCAGACGGGUGAGUAACGCGUGGGAAUCUACCGUGCCCUACGGAAUAGCUCCGGGAAACUGGAAUAAUACCGUAUACGCCCUACGGGGGAAAGAUUUAUCGGGGUAUGAUGAGCCCGCGUUGGAUUAGCUAGUUGGUGGGGUAAAGGCCUACCAAGGCGACGAUCCAUAGCUGGUCUGAGAGGAUGAUCAGCCACAUUGGGACUGAGACACGGCCCAAACUCCUGCGGGAGGCAGCAGUGGGGAAUAUUGGACAAUGGGCGCAAGCCUGAUCCAGCCAUGCCGCGUGAGUGAUGAAGGUCUUAGGAUUGUAAAGCUCUUUCACCGGUGAAGAUAAUGACGGUAACCGGAGAAGAAGCCCCGGCUAACUUCGUGCCAGCCGCCGCCGUAA